CAGGCCACACGGGAAGCUCUACUCCCCUCACCAUCUCCCUCGCUUCCACCACUGCACAGAACACGGCCAUCGCUUGGAGGGCCGCCACUCCGGCUCACACAGUCCCUCUCACUCACACCCAACCUCCUCCUCCUCCAGAGAGCACCGGCCUGAGAGGAAGGACAAGGAAUCAUCAGGGGGUUCCUCUGGCAUCGGUGGGAAGCGUCCACACCA